rnacentral:lncRNA from 1 species
CAGAAGCCCUUGUCCUCACUUUACAGAUGAACACAAUGAGGCUCAGGGAAGGAAAAGACUUGGCAGGUAAAGGCAGAGUCUUAAUGAGCACCUGGGUCUGCAGCCCACUGAGCCCGCAGCACACACGUACACGUACACACACACACACACACACACACACACACGCAUGCUCACCUGCAGGCUCAUGGGCACGCACGUGCGUGGGCUUACACGCAUGCAUGCACACAUGCCUUCCAUUGCCCAGGCUGCCACUCAGAUAGCAAAGGGGCUUGGAGAGGCUGGAGGUCAAAUUGCCUCUGCUUGCAUGUGAAUCACCAGGCCUGCGUCUUCUCAGCAUGUGACGCAGAUGUGGGGCCCUGUGGCUGCAGGUGUGGGGCCCAUGCACACACGUGUGCUGACAUGCAGGGGUGUAGGGGCUCGUGUGCACAUGCACAUCCAUGCUCUGUGUCAUUUGCUAGUGUGUGUGCACACACGAUAUCCACGUGUCUCUGUGUGCGCACCUGGUGGGAGGCGGGGGAGCUGGUCACCCUGCUGCCUCUGGCGGGACCCAGCCCCACCCCAGCAACUGCGUUCCAGACUUGUCUCUGGAUAACAUUCAGUCCCAGGACUCCGAGGGCCCAUCAACGGCCAGGAUCCAGAUAUCGGAAGAUAUCUGACCGUGCUCUGCAGCCAGAGGGCAUCUCCAACUGAUGCCGGUCACGGUCACAGGGGCCCAGAGUGAGGAAGAGCUUUCUGAGUCACACACCCCAAGAGGGGCGCCAAGGUGACGUCUGGGGCUUUCUUCCAUACCUCAGCUAAAGCCUGGUCCCAGCAGGGCUCAUCUGCUAGGAGAGGCAAUGGCAGGGUCCUCCCCUGGCCUCCGUGGAGGCCGGUUCUCCUCCGCUGAGCCCCUUCAGGUGGUCUCUCUCACCCCCCUUAAAAAAACCACCUGGAUUAAAUCAUGGGGUCCGCCCUAAGGACCUUAUUUAAUCUAAUCACUUCCGCCAGGCCCCACUCUGAACAUGGGAGCUGGAUCAAGUUUUGACUCUCAAUACCAUUAUCAUAAGCCUUUGGGGACCAGGCUGGGGCUGGGGCUCAGUGGUACAGCGAUCGCCUAGCAUGCACAAGGCACUGGGUUCAAUCCUCAGCACCACAAAAAGACAAAAUAAAGGUAUUGUGUCCACCUACAACUAAAAAAUAAAUAUUAAAAAAAAAAGACGUUGGGAACCACACUCCUGCAUGAGUUUGGAGGGGACAAGUUCAUACCACCUCAGGGAGUCAGCACAGAGUUGCUGCUGCUCUGUGGCAGAAGACCCAGAUGUGGGCGCCGGAAAGCUGGCCUUCACUGUGCCCUCAAGCAGGUCACUCAGGUCACUGGGCUCCCAGGGCAGUUUACUUAGCUAUUGAAUGGCGCUCUGCCACCCACCUGGGGGGGUGCUUUCUGGGAAAGGUGUGGACUCACGCCCGGGAACAGUGGGGGCUAUCUGAAGAUGAAUGGGCUGCCCCGGGAGGUGGUAGGGUCCUGUGGCCGAGGUGAGCAGAGGAGAGGACCGUGGA